rnacentral:rRNA from 1 species
GUGGGGAAUUUUGGACAAUGGGCGCAAGCCUGAUCCAGCAAUGCCGCGUGUGUGAAGAAGGCCUUCGGGUUGUAAAGCACUUUUGUCCGGAAAGAAAUGGCCUGGGUUAAUACCCCGGGUCGAUGACGGUACCGGAAGAAUAAGCACCGGCUAACUACGUGCCAGCAGCCGCGGUAAUACGUAGGGUGCGAGCGUUAAUCGGAAUUACUGGGCGUAAAGCGUGCGCAGGCGGCUAUGCAAGACAGAUGUGAAAUCCCCGGGCUCAAACUGGGAACUGCAUUUGUGACUGCAUGGCUAGAGUGCGUCAGAGGGAGGUGGAAUUCCGCGUGUAGCAGUGAAAUGCGUAGAGAUGCGGAGGAACACCGAUGGCGAAGGCAGCCUCCUGGGAUGACACUGACGCUCAUGCACGAAAGCGUGGGGAGCAAACAGGAUUAGAUACCCCUGUAGUCC